CCUACGGGAGGCAGCAGUGCUGAAUAUUGCACAAUGCGCGGAAGCCUGAUGCAAUGCAGCCGCGUGAGGGAUGACGGCCUUCGGGUUGUAAACCUCUUUCAGCAGGGAMGGAUGCGGACGUGACCGUACCUGCAAAACACGGACCGGUUCACGCCGUGCCAGCAGCCGCGGUAAU
rnacentral:rRNA from 1 species